rnacentral:rRNA from 1 species
CACUCCUACGGGAGGCAGCAGUGGGGAAUAUUGGACGAUGGGCGCAAGCCUGAUCCAGCCAUGCCGCGUGAGUGAUGAAGGCCCUAGGGUUGUAAAGCUCUUUCACCGGUGAAGAUAAUGACGGUAACCGGAGAAGAAGCCCCGGCUAACUUCGUGCCAGCAGCCGCGGUAAUACGAAGGGGGCUAGCGUUGUUCGGAUUUACUGGGCGUAAAGCGCACGUAGGCGGACUAUUAAGUCAGGGGUGAAAUCCCGGGGCUCAACCCCGGAACUGCCUUUGAUACUGGUAGUCUUGAGUUCGAGAGAGGUGAGUGGAAUUCCGAGUGUAGAGGUGAAAUUCGUAGAUAUUCGGAGGAACACCAGUGGCGAAGGCGGCUCACUGGCUCGAUACUGACGCUGAGGUGCGAAAGCGUGGGGAGCAAACAGGAUUAGAUACCCCGGUAGUCCCAUGAG